rnacentral:rRNA from 1 species
AUGUCACAACAAACAGUUACGGUGCCAAUAUUCGAUUUCGCCACGGGAAGACUUUCACCUAGUCAUUGUGCUGAAAACCAGGAAGAAGCGACGCGACGAACCCUACAACGACCAGCUGGACCUCUUUCAAGAUGCCGCCGAGCCAGCUGCGCCGGUUUGCUUCUCCCUCUGCACCUGGCUGGUUCUCGUUGCCCGCUGCUGCUCCUGGUUCCUGGUUCUCUGCGGCUUGGUCAGGGUUUGCAGGAUCUGCGAGGUUUCCACCUGAGAUGCAGACAGUGA